rnacentral:rRNA from 1 species
GACAGAGGGUGCAAACGUUGCUCGGAAUUACUGGGCGUAAAGCGCGUGUAGGCGGACCAGCAAGUCGGACGUGAAAUCCCUGAGCUCAACUCAGGAACUGCAUCCGAAACUGCUGGUCUGGAGUGGUGGAGAGGGAAGCAGAAUUCCUGGUGUAGAGGUGAAAUUCGUAGAUAUCAGGAGGAACACCGGUGGCGAAGGCGGCUUCCUGGACACUUACUGACGCUGAGGAGCGAAAGCUAGGGGAGCAAACGGG